UUUAUGAUGAAAGCAAGUUGGUCCGUGUUGAUGAGGCGGCUUAAGACACCGCCGAGUGACUAAAACACAAUUGUCCUUGUGACGUUUCUGAAAAA
rnacentral:snoRNA from 1 species